ACAGAGGUCUCAAGCGUUGUUCGGAUUCAUUGGGCGUAAAGGGUGCGUAGGUGGCGGGGUAAGUCUGGUGUGAAAUCUCGGGGCUCAACUCCGAAACUGCACUGGAUACUGCCUUGCUCGAGUACUGGAGAGGAGAUUGGAAUUUACGGUGUAGCAGUGAAAUGCGUAGAUAUCGUAAGGAAGACCAGUGGCGAAGGCGAAUCUCUGGACAGUUACUGACACUGAGGCACGAAGGCCAGGGGAGCAAACGG
rnacentral:rRNA from 1 species